rnacentral:rRNA from 1 species
ACAACCCGCCAGGGAAUUACGAGCCCAAUCUUAAAACCCAAAGGACUUGACGGUGUCCCACCCACCUAGAGGAGCCUGUUCUAUAAUCGACACCCCCCGAUACACCUCACCACUUCUAGCAUAUCAGUCUGUAUACCUCCGUCAUAAGCCUACCAUGUGAACGCUAAAGUGGGCCAAAAGAUCCCCCCAUCAAUACGUCAGGUCAAGGUGCAGCUUACGAAGUGGAAAGCAAUGGGCUACAAUUUCUAACCAUAGAACACACGAAAGAACUGCAUGCAAUACAGUUUCAGAAGGUGGAUUUAGCAGUAAAAAGAAAAUAGAGUGUUCUUUUUAACCCGGCGCUGGGACGCGU